rnacentral:rRNA from 1 species
AUGGAGUCAGCUGACCCCAGCGCCAAGGAGAUGAGGCUCCCGCUAGCGGCAAUGCCUGUUGUAGAUCCCGCACCCGGCAGCGCGGGGAGAAGCAGUGACCCCGCCCCCACAGGAUCCCAGGAACCCAUAGAAUCUCGGGUGGACCGCAUCAGCGAUCUCCCGGACGUCGUCCUUGGGGAGAUCAUCUCGCUUCUCCCCACCAAGGAUUGCUGCCGCACCCAAGUCCUCUCAAUUCGGUGGCGUCCUCUAUGGUGCGCUGUGCCCCUUAAUCUCCACUGUCAUCAGCUAUCUCUCUUCAAUGAUUUUGAAAUCCCCAGAGCCAUCAUGUCCUCCCACCAGGUCUCCGUUCAAAGCCUCUACAUCCCGUCAUGCUACCUGAGCAAGCAUACCAUGCCCUGCAUGUUGGACGCCUGA